rnacentral:rRNA from 1 species
GACGAACGCUGGCGGCGUGCUUAACACAUGCAAGUCGAACGCUGAAGCUCAGCUUUUGUUGGGUGGAUGAGUGGCGAACGGGUGAGUAACACGUGAGUAACCUGCCUCCUUCUUUGGGAUAACGCCCGGAAACGGGUGCUAAUACUGGAUAUUCACUGGUCUUCGCAUGGGGGUUGGUGGAAAGGGUUUUUCUGGUGGGGGAUGGGCUCGCGGCCUAUCAGCUUGUUGGUGGGGUGAUGGCCUACCAAGGCUUUGACGGGUAGCCGGCCUGAGAGGGUGACCGGUCACAUUGGGACUGAGAUACGGCCCAGACUCCUACGGGAGGCAGCAGUGGGGAAUAAUGCACAAUGGGCGCAAGCCUGAUGCAGCGACGCCGCGUGAGGGAUGGAGGCCUUCGGGUUGUGAACCUCUUUCGCUAAUGGUCAAGCCGCAACAAUGGUUGUGGUGAGGGUAGUGGGUAAAGAAGCGCCGGCUAGCUACGUG